ACGGGCUCACGUGAUUUGCCGGCAACUGGAGCGCCAGCCCCGGCCGCCAGCUGUCGGUUCGGUUGCGUUACUGGGGAGGCGCCGGGGCCAAGGCAGGGAGGGAUCCUAGGAGAGAUCGUAGGACAUCUGAAGAGCUGCCAUGUCUGGGACAUCUUCCUCAGAACAGAAUAAAAACAGCUAUGAAACCAAACCCUCAAAUCUUCGAAUGUCAGAGAAGAAAUGUUCAUGGGCCUCCUACAUGACCAACUCCCCGACUCUCAUCGUUAUGAUCGGUUUGCCAGCCCGGGGUAAAACCUAUGUGUCCAAGAAACUAACACGCUACCUCAACUGGAUUGGAGUGCCCACCAAAGUGUUUAAUCUUGGGGUAUACCGGCGUGAAGCUGUCAAGUCCUAUAAGUCCUACGACUUCUUUCGGCAUGACAAUGAGGAGGCCAUGAAGAUCCGCAGACAGUGUGCUCUGGUGGCGCUGGAAGACGUUAAGGCGUAUCUCACCGAGGAAAAUGGUCAGAUUGCGGUGUUUGAUGCCACCAAUACCACCCGGGAGAGGAGGGAUAUGAUUUUGAAUUUUGCUGAACAGAAUGCCUUCAAGGUAUUCUUUGUGGAAUCUGUCUGUGAUGAUCCUGAUGUCAUUGCUGCCAAUAUUCUGGAGGUUAAGGUAUCCAGCCCUGACUACCCUGAAAGGAACAGGGAGAACGUGAUGGAGGACUUCCUGAAGAGAAUUGAGUGCUACAAAGUUACCUACCGUCCCCUUGACCCAGACAACUAUGACAAGGAUCUUUCUUUCAUCAAGGUGAUAAAUGUGGGCCAGCGAUUUUUAGUCAACAGAGUCCAGGACUAUAUCCAGAGCAAGAUAGUCUACUACCUCAUGAAUAUCCAUGUCCAGCCUCGCACCAUUUACCUUUGCCGGCACGGAGAGAGCGAGUUCAAUCUCUUGGGGAAGAUUGGGGGUGACUCUGGCCUCUCAGUACGGGGAAAGCAGUUUGCCCAAGCUCUAAGGAAGUUUCUGGAGGAACAGGAGAUAACAGACCUCAAAGUGUGGACAAGCCAGCUGAAGAGGACCAUACAGACUGCCGAAUCUCUUGGAGUGCCCUAUGAGCAGUGGAAGAUUCUGAAUGAGAUUGAUGCUGGCGUGUGUGAAGAGAUGACCUAUGCAGAGAUUGAGAAGCGGUACCCGGAAGAGUUUGCACUUCGGGAUCAAGAGAAGUAUCUGUAUCGAUAUCCCGGUGGGGAGUCAUACCAGGACCUGGUGCAGCGGCUGGAGCCUGUCAUCAUGGAGCUGGAACGUCAGGGCAAUGUCCUUGUCAUCUCCCACCAAGCUGUCAUGCGCUGCCUUCUGGCCUACUUCUUGGAUAAGGGCGCAGAUGAGCUACCGUACUUGAGAUGCCCUCUCCAUACCAUCUUCAAACUUACUCCUGUGGCCUACGGGUGCAAAGUGGAGACAAUUAAGCUUAAUGUGGAGGCCGUGAACACACACCGCGACAAGCCAACUAACAACUUCCCCAAGAACCAAACCCCUGUAAGGAUGAGAAGGAACAGCUUUACGCCUCUGUCCAGUUCGAAUACAAUAAGGCGUCCAAGAAAUUACAGUGUUGGGAGCCGGCCCCUCAAGCCCCUCAGCCCUCUCCGUGCCCUGGACAUGCAAGAAGGGGCCGACUAGCCGAAGACCCAAGUCAGCAUUUCGGUGGUGUGACCGUGUGUUUCCCUCCCGCCCUGGCCUCCUGCCCUUGUCACUAAUCAUCAAGGUGUCAUUUAACUUCCUCCCUCCACCCCCACCCCUGACACUUCACCAUUAAUCUUAACAUAGAACGUGAGGUUAUGUGUUUCCAGGACAACCUUAGCUGUUCUCCAGUCUGAAACAUCUUUCCACCCAGGGGCAGGUUAGCAAAUUGUGUCUUUCAGGACAGAUUCUCAGAUGGAAUGGUCUGGAGGAGGAGGAAAAAGAUACAUUCCAUUGGGGCUGAACAUGCCCCACGCUCUUGGUUCUUCUCUGUGUUCCCUGGUGUCUUACUUCACUAAUGUCCUCGCGUGGGUAAAGUGUUCUGGGGGAUGGAGGGUGGGUGAGUGGUGGGGGGACAAAACGUCCGUUCUUCCUUCACUUCUGUCUCUUCGACGUGUGUUUUCCUCACCGUGCUUGCUUGACUGCUUUCCUCUCCCACCUUCGUGUCCCCUCUGGAUUGUCCGGUGUAAUGCAUGGCAUUGCGGUGUCUGUCUAGGAAGGAAGGGGUGAUUGGCAGGAGACAAGUCUGGCCCAGCUGAUGCUUUCUGCAGCGGGUCCAGAUGGAUCUGGACUGGAGGAGUCUUUCCUUUCCUUUCUGCCUUCCUCUCCAGCGAGGUCCUGCACGGGCCAGCCCAGGCUACAGAACAUCCACAGAAUACUCUGGAGCUUGCAAGUGUACAUAGGACGGAAUGGCUGAGUAUUCCAUAGGAGGAUCUGCGUAAUCCUGUUUGCAACCCACGUUUGAUCUUCAGAGACACUGGCAUUUUGAAGAAACAUGAUAUAGCUGUUUGGGAAUAAAUUCAUCUAUGUUAUUUAUUUAUUUUUGUGUGUGUGUGAGUAGGAGAUCUUAAUUGACAGAAACUCCUUGGUAAUUAGGGUGGCCAAUGGCAAGAGAAAAAGUAUCCGGUAAUCAGAAGAACUGUGUCUGGGUUAUGUAGUCUUAUGCACAUUUCAUUGUCUUUGCCAAGCCCAGAAGCCAUACUGUGUUCAUUGUCAAGAAAUUUGAUAGAUUUACCCAGUUUUUCUAGUAUGGAUUUUUGACUUAUUAAAAAUAUAUAACAACCUGAACAACAUUGGCUGCAACAUUGGCGGGUCACCCCCAAAGUAACACAGAUAUUAGAAGUGUGUCUAGGGAUUUAAUUUAGACCCAACUGUCUAGGAGAUUGUGUUUAGUUGGGUCUCUGUACUGACUGACCAGCAGACUUUAGAGUCUGUGUGCAGACUGGAAGACCCUAGUGGUGUCUAUAUGUCGGCCAGCUGAUGAACUAGUUGGAUCUGUGUGCUGACUGACUCCAGUAGGAUCUGUUUGUCACUGACAGACUCUAGUACUGUCUCUGUGAUGACUGACUGGCUGAUUCUAGUAGUGUCCGUGUGUUGACUGAAUGAGAAACUCUAGUAGUGUCUGUGUGUUGACUGGUUGGUACUCUAGUGGUGUCUGUGUGUCGACUGACUGACAAGACUCUAGUAGUGUCUGUGUGCUGACUGAUAGACUAGUAACAUCUGGGUAUUGCCUGACUAUAGAGUCUAUAAGCUGACAGUCCGCCUGCCGUCUGAUUGCACCCAUUGGAGUGUGUGUGUAUUACUGUAAUUCUCUACAAAGAAAGGAAUUAAGCACUCCAGAUAUUUUCUUUAUAGGGGAGUUCUGUACACUAUGAUUUUAAAUAGACAUUUCUUGUAUAGUAGUGGCCAAAUUCUCCUUAUUUGUAAAAGAUAAAGGUUGCAUAUCACUGCUAUGGUAUUUUGUGAACUCAGCCAGGGGAAUGCCUGUUCAGAGCCUGGAGUUGUUACCCUCACUUGAGGUCAUCUCAUCCACUCCCCUGCUUUAGGGCAGGACUUCACUUUUGCUGUCUGUUUCUGAAGCUUGUGUGUCCCCAGCUUACCCUGUUCUGGAACGCUGCAUUCUGUUGGAGAGGGCUGCUAUUUUUAGUCAGCCAUGCAUUUGGCUUUUACACUGAAUCUAAUAAAUAAAAAUGAGAAGAAUAUUUGGCCUUCAGAAAUUGAUUUUAAGGGUUGGCAAAAGUAUUUUUUCCAGUAAGCCUUUCACUGGAUAUCUGUGACCAAUGUUUACCUACUCAAUGUUUUUGUAUCUGAAUUGCUUGUGUACAUUUUUUAUUAUGUUGACGUAACAAGAAGAUCAACAUAUGCUGAUAUGGUGAUGGUUUUGCUAUGGCCAAAGCAAAGGGCUGACCAAAUACACGGUGCCCUUUGGGAAGGGGAAUUGUGUGGGGCUGGGCACCUCUGGGUUGAAUGGGGAUGGGUCAGAUUGGGAAGUCUAGGAAAUAGAGUUCUACUGCAGAUUUCUGAGGCACUGCUCUGUUGAAAGUAGGAACAUAGGUCUUUAGCAACAUUCUGAUUUAAUCAGGUGUCACUGAUAACAAAGUGUGCCACUUAGAUCCAUUUAAGGUGUUUUAAACUGUAUUUGAAAUGUGUUUUUGUGCGUGUGUGUGUAGAAUGGGUAAAUAAAAUUGUUGAGUAACUUGAACCUA